rnacentral:rRNA from 1 species
AUUGAACGCUGGCGGCAGGCCUAACACAUGCAAGUCGAGCGGAUGAAGGGAGCUUGCUCCUGGAUUCAGCGGCGGACGGGUGAGUAAUGCCUAGGAAUCUGCCUGGUAGUGGGGGAUAACGUCCGGAAACGGGCGCUAAUACUGCAUACGUCCUGAGGGAGAAAGUGGGGGAUCUUCGGACCUCACGCUAUCAGAUGAGCCUAGGUCGGAUUAGCUAGUUGGUGGGGUAAAGGCCUACCAAGGCGACGAUCCGUAACUGGUCUGAGAGGAUGAUCAGUCACACUGGAACUGAGACACGGUCCAGACUCCUACGGGAGGCAGCAGUGGGGAAUGUUGGACAAUGGGCGAAAGCCUGAUCCAGCCAUGCCGCGUGUGUGAAGAAGGUCUUCGGAUUGUAAAGCACUUUAAGUUGGGAGGAAGGGCAGUAAGUUAAUACCUUGCUGUUUUGACGUUACCAACAGAAUAAGCACCGGCUAACUUCGUG